CCCAGCUAGGAGCGUUCUUGAGGCACACACAUCCAAGCACAGUGUAUGUGGCAGAAGAGAGAGCGGAGGAAGUCCUGGGGAACAGGGUUCCUGCCCAGCCUUCCCCCUCUUCUCAUCCUGGUAGGAGCUUGCUCUCGGGCUGCGUGUGGUCAUAGAAGCAACAGCAAUGUCACCCUUGGAGAGCCCUCAGGAAACACCGGCUUCCAUUGGCUGAGUGUGAGCACACACGCGUGUGUGUAUGCAGGCGCCUGUCUGUCAUGGCCCUUCCUGUAAUGUCCUAUUCCAGAAAAACCAGGAGCUGGAAGCAAUCCCCCUGCCCCACAGAUUGCCCCCAUGUCCGCUUCUGAAGGGACCAAGAACCACAGACCUCCUCUUCAGAGGCCUGCUG
rnacentral:lncRNA from 1 species